GGGGGCGAUCAUACCAGCACUAAUGCACCAGAUCCCAUCAGAACUCCGCAGCUAAGCGUGCUUGGGCGAGAGUAGUACUAAGAUGGGUGACCUCCUAGGAAGUCCUCGUGUUGCACCCC
rnacentral:rRNA from 1 species